rnacentral:lncRNA from 1 species
GAGGAUGGAAGGGAAGGCAAGGAGGAACUAUGUGCUGGGAAAACUAUAAACAGGAUUCGGCUGCUGCCCCAAGAAGGCCUUGCUGCUGCUGAGGCAAAGCAGCACUUUUGGGAUGAUGCUUUUAGGAACUAGGAACAGACAAAAUGCAAUCCAGAGAAGCACUUCCCCUUUAGACAAAUCCUGACAUGCAGGCAUCCUGGAGACCAGCCCUACCUCUGCUAAUUCUAUGCCUCCAGGGCUCACAAAGAAGACUGCAUGACACAGACUCUCAGCAAGCAUCUGUGAAGACUUGUUUGAUCUGCUAUUCAUCUAUCUAUCAGCACUCCACACUCAGAGGGAAAAUUUUCAAUAGAAUUUCCUUUCUCAUUAAUAAGUCGAACAUGUUCCUCCUUUGAGACUACAGUUGCCAUCAUACCCUACACAAUAGCCAUAUAAGUAAGGGAUCUGGGGGCACCAAGCUGGGCCAAAUUGUAUCCAGAGAGGCAGCAGAUAAUUCCCAGUGAUGUUCCGAGCAAACAGGUAAAAAGUUCCAAGGUCAAUUUUUUUUAACGUAUCUCUCCAUGUCUGUUUAUGGUUUCCUCUCUUGUUCUUCUAGGUCUAUGAAUGAUUCUAUA